rnacentral:rRNA from 1 species
AUACGGAGGGCGCAAGCGUUAUUCGGAAUCACUGGGCGUAAAGGACGCGUAGGCGGGUUGGCAAGUCAGAUGUGAAAUCCUACAGCUUAACUGUAGAACUGCAUUUGAAACUGCUAACCUAGAGUAUGGGAGGGGGAGAUGGAAUUAGUGGUGUAGGGGUAAAAUCCGUAGAUAUCACUAGGAAUACCGAAAGCGAAGGCGAUCUCCUGGAACAUAACUGACGCUAAGGCGUGAAAGCGUGGGGAGCAAACAGGAUUAGAUACCCUAGUAGUCC